rnacentral:rRNA from 1 species
AGCCAUCGGGGUGGAUUAGUGGCGAACGGGUGAGUAACACGUGGGCAAUCUGCCCUUCACUCUGGGACAAGCCCUGGAAACGGGGUCUAAUACCGGAUAACACUCUGUCCUGCAUGGGACGGGGUUAAAAGCUCCGGCGGUGAAGGAUGAGCCCGCGGCCUAUCAGCUUGUUGGUGGGGUAAUGGCCUACCAAGGCGACGACGGGUAGCCGGCCUGAGAGGGCGACCGGCCACACUGGGACUGAGACACGGCCCAGACUCCUACGGGAGGCAGCAGUGGGGAAUAUUGCACAAUGGGCGAAAGCCUGAUGCAGCGACGCCGCGUGAGGGAUGACGGCCUUCGGGUUGUAAACCUCUUUCAGCAGGGAAGAAGCGAAAGUGACGGUACCUGCAGAAGAAGCGCCGGCUAACUACGUGCCAGCAGCCGCGGUAAUACGUAGGGCGCAAGCGUUGUCCGGAAUUAUUGGGCGUAAAGAGCUCGUAGGCGGCUUGUCACGUCGGAUGUGAAAGCCCGGGGCUUAACCCCGGGUCUGCAUUCGAUACGGGCUAGCUAGAGUGUGGUAGGGGAGAUCGGAAUUCCUGGUGUAGCGGUGAAAUGCGCAGAUAUCAGGAGGAACACCGGUGGCGAAGGCGGAUCUCUGGGCCAUUACUGACGCUGAGGAGCGAAAGCGUGGGGAGCGAACAGGAUUAGAUA